rnacentral:lncRNA from 1 species
AAUCCCUUCGCCUGAACAUUUUGUCACGUACCCUGCUGCAUCACCAACUAAUGCAACUCUGUCUUGCAAUCUUCUGGGUCUUGGGUGUUCUGGAAUCGGGUGGGCCUCGACCCGGAUAAUUUUUCCGCCGGUGAUUUUGGAAUCGGCCCUCAGUCUUGUAGCUAGCUGGAAUUUCUUAAUGUCAGCUUUGUGAGUGACGGUGCCAGUGCCAACGGCGACGUGGUCACAUUUGGGGAAAACCCACCCGUAAAAAUCAGGGGACACGUCAUCACCCACGUACAUUUCAGCUAAAUUCUCGUAAUACUUCAUCUUAUCAUCUGAAAUUCUAAUCCUUUCUUGGAAAGCAAUAGCGUACUCGUAGUCACCGGCGUUGAUGGAUUUUGCGACACGGGAAUUUGCUCCGUCAGCGCCGAUAACGGCGUCAACUUCCAGGGUGCGCUUCUCUCCUGCGCCGUUAGUUUUGGAGUCGUAAGCUGUGUAGUGAAGGACGUAAGGUGCGUUUGGGACUUUGGGCAUGUCCAUUUUGAGGAACAAGCCG